GUGAAUCAUCAAAUUUUUGAACGCAAAUUGCACUCUCCGGUUUUCCGGGAGAGUAUGCCUGUUUGAGGUUCUGUUUAAAAAAUAAUCGAGUCUGCUGCUGCGGUGGCGCUUCGGCAUUGGAUCAUCUUCCACCUUUCGGGGUUGUAAGCGACCUAAAAUUUUUCUUAUGAUUUCUACGAACUCUUCUAAGAUUUUUUCUUGUACGUUCGCG
rnacentral:misc_RNA from 1 species